CUUUCCGAGGAGACCCUGAAGGCAGCAUUCACUAGCAACAAGUUGAGGUUAGCUCCCGUCUUGUAUUUUUUCAAAUGCCCUAAGAAAUCAUUUAAAAGAGUCUGAAUUCACAACACUGGGAAAGCAAACAGGACAACAACAGGACCACUGUGGUGGAUGUAAUCGUCACUAUGGACAAAGAGAAGUCGGCACAAUUGACGAAAAUUCAAUAUCUGGAGGAGCAGUUGGAGAGAUGGCAGCUGCAUUACGACUGGCUGCAGAAGAAGAACGUGGAGCUGACCGCCCGCUACGGCGCCCUGGAGAAGGACAAGAUGGACACCUAUCGGCGCCUGAAAGGCAAAGAGGAUGCAAAGGAGACGGAGGAGAGGGAGCUGGAUGAGCGGAUGCAGGCGGCCGAGCAGCACCGACACGACCUGAAGCUUCAGCACGGCCGCGAGAUGGAGAAGCUUCAGCGUCGUCUGGAUGACCUCCAGUCGGAGGGCGAGGCGCUGGCGAUUAAAUCCCGCCAGCAGCAGGAGCUGGUGCAGGAGAUGGUGCAACACCGGUCCGACCGGGAGACCGAGAUGGAGCUGCUGGUCGGUCACAACAAAACGCUUGAAGCGGCCAUCGACUGCUGGAAGCGCGAGGCAGAGCCGGAGAGGAGAAGGAAGAUCGCGGACAGAGAGAAAGACAUCGAGAGAUUAGCUGAGGAGGAAAAGGUGUCCCUGCUGGAGGAGAGAGACGUCCUGCGAGACCAGGAGAGGGAUCGCUGCACCGAGAGGGACCGCCAGAAGACGGCCGUGAGGAGGGAACAGGCGGAGCUCCGCUCCUGCAGGAAGGAGUUAGAGCAGAUGCAGAAUGAGUGCCAGCGGCUGAGGGUGGAGCUGAAGGAUUGUAGCUCCGCCAACAAGGGCCUGCUGAAGAGGAAAGACAUCCUCAGAAGGCUCCUGGCCGCGGCGCCGGAGAAGCGCUGCCUGCAGACGGCUCGGGUGGCCCGGCUGAGGGCGGAGCUCCAGAGGGAGAGCAGGGAGUGGGGGCGGCUGGAGGCCGCCAGGGAGGAAGGAGUCGUCCUCGUCGGCCACAUCCUGAUGGACUCAAAGUCUGACGCGUCUGAGAUAGAGCAGAAGAUGCUGAGGCUGCUGGACAUCCUGGAGAGCUCCGCGCCCCCCAAGGGGACCAGGCUCCACCACAAACCACUCCCCCGACGAGGACGGAAGAGGACGGAAGAGGAAGAGAAAUACGCCUUGAAAUCAGGAUCCAAGGUCACUGCCAAGUCCACUAAAUAGACAGGAUUCUGCUCGAGUGAGACUGGUGCCGGGAAAUGCUGAAGACACAAAAGUAAUUUAAAGCACAAUAAAAUAAUCUAAAUUCUAAAUAAUGGUUUAACAUGUUCAGUACGCUGUGAACCGACGCUGUGAACCGACGCUGAUAACGACUAAAAGGAUAUCAGAGAAACAGUACAAUAACAACAUAGGAAAAUGCUUUUUAAAGUUCUCCUAAUAGCCACUAGGUGCUUUAUCCAAGGAGGAGCAGCUCGUAUGUUGGUUCUCUGGGCCAUUUGGAAGAAGUCUCAGAUGCUUUACUGAGGUAAAAGUACUGAUACUGCACAGUGAAUGUCUCCCACAGUCCAAAUAUGGUCACUUCCUGUUCACUGGUUGCAAAAAACAAGAUAGCAAUGGGCUCAAUGCCGAACUCAAGGCUUCAAUAACGCAGUUCACAAACCAGUGGAUGACGUGCUCUUCUUAUAAAUAGUAUAUUGGGUAAACUGUUACAUGUGGACAUUAAGGAAUCUAUAGCCAACAGCUCAUUUGUAUUAGUUUAAAGCACAUGGAUACGUCUCUAUGAUCCCAAUCUGACAGCUGCAUGUUAACUUCAGGCUUUCAUCUGAAUCUCUUUGUCUUGCUGAGGGUUCAGAUGGAAGGAUUUAGUGCAGGGGUGACAAAACUUUUUUCUCUAACCCUCUAAUGUAUAUCCACACAUUAUCAUCAGGGCCGGGGCCGGGUCAGCUAUAUAACAUAGAAUUGUAUGACCCAGACCAAUUUGACCACCAGCAGGCCUCAUUGUGUAGUAGAGAUUAUUAGCCUGGCACAGCCAUCCCCACUACUACAGGUGAAACUCGAAAAAUUUGAAUAUCGUGCAAAAGUUCAUUUAUUUCAUUAAUUCGACUUAAAAGGUG
ensembl:lncRNA